rnacentral:rRNA from 1 species
AGCGAACGCUGGCGGCAGGCCUAACACAUGCAAGUCGAACGGACCCUUCGGGUUAGUGGCGGACGGGUGAGUAACACGUGGGAACGUGCCCUAUGGUUCGGAACAACUCAGGGAAACUUGAGCUAAUACCGGAUAAGCCCUUCGGGGAAGGAUUAUCGCCAUUGGAGCGGCCCGCGUCUGAUUAGCUAGUUGGUGAGGUAAAGGCUCACCAAGGCGACGAUCAGUAGCUGGUCUGAGAGGAUGAUCAGCCA